rnacentral:pre_miRNA from 11 species
CUGGCAGUUCCAAGCUUUGAGAACUGGUUUUCGUGGACUGGUUUCCAUUUAGUCUUCUCAGUCCAUAAUGCUCAGUUUUCCAGCUUGGCUGCACCUG